AUCACUGGGCGUAAAGCGUGCGUAGGCGGCGUAUCAAGUCAGACGUGAAAGCCCUCGGCUCAACCGAGGAAUUGCGUUUGAAACUGCUGUGCUAGAGUCUCGGAGAGGUUGGCGGAAUUCCUGGUGUAGGAGUGAAAUCCGUAGAUAUCUGGAGGAACACCGGUGGCGAAGGCGGCCAACUGGACGAGUACUGACGCUGAGGUACGAAAGCGUGGGGAGCAAACAGGAUUAGAUACCCUGGUAGUCCACGCUGUAAACGAUGGAUAUUAGGUGUCGGGGGUAUUACCCCUGUGCCGCAGUUAACCCAUUAAAUUAUCCGCCCGGGGAGGACGGUCGCAGGGCUGAAACUCAAAGGAAUUGACGG
rnacentral:rRNA from 1 species